UUCCCAGCCGGCACAUGACCGACCUUCAACGUUGAAAUAUGGUUGAAAUAAGGUCAGUUGUGGUUUCAACGUUGAAACAACGUUGAUUCAACGUUUAAAGCUGAAUGGUUGAAAAACAUCCAGCACAUGACCAACUUUCAAUGUUGAAAUAUGGUUGAAAUAAGGUCAGUUGUGGUUUCAACGUUGAAACAACGUUGAUUCAACGUUUAAAGAUGAACUGUUGAAAAACUUCCAGCACAUGACCAACUUUCAACAUUGAAAUAUGGCUGAAAUAAGGUCAGUUGUUUUAAUGAAACAACUUUAAAAAUGUUUAAUGCUAAAUGGUAGAAAAAGGUUAACAAGCUUUUAAAUUAUUUAUAUUAAAUUAUUUAAAUUAAUUAUUUUAAUAGCAUUUUAAAAUAUUUUAGUCAUGAUACCUAUUCUAAAAUCUAAAGGUAUAUGUUAAAUAUUAUUAUCAUUAACAACAAUAAAACUAUAUACAUUUCGCUGCUUUAUCACACUGAAACAACUCCCAUUGGUAGUUUUAUUUUAUUACUUCUAUCAUGAUUGGUUAAUCUGGCUGUCAUUCAGGAAACUGGACAAUGAAUCGGUUCGCGCCUUUCUACAUUUAAAAAUAUGACCGUUAUUGUCGUCUUUCUGUGAGUGAGGCGGCUAACUGUGAGCUGCUGCUCGUUAUAACUGACUGCUCUAUCGGUCCCGAAUUAUUUCAUAUUUGCCUGUACAUUUUUUAUUUAUUUUGAGCGAAUUUGAGUCGUGACAUGUCAAUGGAGAACAAAAACUGUGAACACAAGAAGGGUCAGGUGUUCUGCGAGGUCCUGAAAACAUCCUGUCAAAAUGAGAGUCAUCGAGGAUCCAGCUUGUUCUUGAAACAUUGAAGUUUGCACUCUGCAAGUGAACGACGCCUUGUGGUGCCAUCCCAAGGAGGUUCAAAAUCACUCUCACGGACCUUUUCCUGGACUGUGUCCAGCUUGUGGAAUCACCUCCCAAUCUCAAUCCGAACUGCUGAGUCUUUACUCAUUUUCAAGAAACAUUUUAAGACUCAUCUUUUUCACCGGAACUUAACCAACUAAUGCUAGCACUUUUCCUUCUUUUCUUGUCUUUCAUAAAAAAAAAAAAAAAAAAAAAAAAAACCUGGCUAUGCGUUCUGUACUAGACUAACUGAGACUUGUCAUGGCACUUGUAUACUGUUGUUGUUCGCUUGUACACCUGACUGCUUCUGUUCUUCUCAUUCGUAAGUCGCUUUGGAUAAAUUAGUCUGUUAAAUGAUUAAAUGUAAAUGUUUAU